rnacentral:antisense_RNA from 1 species
UGUGGGAGCGAGCUUGCUCGCGAUGGCGGUCGGUCAGUCGACAUUUUCGUUACUGACACACCGCCAUCGCGAGCAAGCUCGCUCCCACA